UCCCGUGUGGCUCAGUUGGUAGAGCAUGGUGUUUGCAACUCCAGGGUUGUGGGUUUGAUUCCCACAGGGGGAU
rnacentral:tRNA from 1 species